GACGAACGCUGGCGGCGUGCUUAACACAUGCAAGUCGAACGAAGUGGCGAACGGGUGAGUAACGCGUAAUAAACCUGCCCUUCAGAGGGGGUCAACAGUUGGAAACGACUGCUAAUACCGCAUACUGAAGGCGGGGAUUGCGUCUGAUUAGCUAGUUGGAGGGGUAACGGCCCACCAAGGCGAUGAUCAGUAGCCGGUCAGAGGGGAUGAACGGCCACAUUGGGACUGAGACACGGCCCAGAUUCCUACGGGAGGAAGCAGUGGGGAAUCUUCCGCAAUGGACGAAAGUCUGACGGAGCAACGCCGCGAGAGUUAUGACGGCCUUCGGGUUGUAAGGCUCUGUUAAUCGGGACGCGGUACCGGAAUAGAAAGCCACGGCUAACUACGUGCCAGCAGCCGCGGUAAUAC
rnacentral:rRNA from 1 species